rnacentral:tRNA from 1 species
UUAGUUCGUUGUGCAUUGUUGUGAACUGCGGGCCUGGGGGCGACUCAUAAUCCGUUGGUGCCGGGUUCGACUCCCGGGGGGCCCACCA